rnacentral:rRNA from 1 species
CUACGGGUGGCUCCAGUGAGGAAUAUUGGUCAAUGGGCGAAAGCCUGAACCAGCCAUGCCGCGUGAAGGAUGACGGCCCUAUGGGUUGUAAACUUCUUUUGUACGGGAAGAAACCCCUCUACGUGUAGAGGUUUGACGGUACCGUACGAAUAAGCAUCGGCUAACUCCGUGCCAGCAGCCGCGGUAAUACGGAGGAUGCAAGCGUUAUCCGGAUUUAUUGGGUUUAAAGGGUACGUAGGCGGAAACUUAAGUCAGUAGUGAAAUCCCGCAGCUUAACUGUGGAACUGUUAUUGAUACUGGGUUUCUUGAAUAUUGUUGAGGUAGGCGGAAUAAGUAAUGUAGCGGUGAAAUGCUUAGAUAUUACUUAGAACACCGAUUGCGAAGGCAGCUUACUAAGCAACUAUUGACGCUGAGGUACGAAAGCGUGGGGAGCGAACAGGAUUAGAUACCCGCGUAGUC